rnacentral:rRNA from 1 species
UACGAAGGGUGCAAGCGUUAAUCGGAAUUACUGGGCGUAAAGCGUGCGUAGACGGUUAUUUAAGUCAGGUGUGAAAGCCCCGGGCUCAACCUGGGAAUUGCAUUUGAGACUGAAUAGCUAGGGUGCGGAAGAGGGAAGCGGAAUUUCCGGUGUAGCGGUGAAAUGCGUAGAUAUCGGAAGGAACACCAGUGGCGAAAGCGGCUUCCUGGUCCAGCACCGACGUUCAGGCACGAAAGCGUGGGGAGCAAAACAGGG